rnacentral:rRNA from 1 species
GUAUAAGAGACAGCAGCAGCCACGGGAAUACGUAGGUGGCAAGCGUUGUCCGGAAUUACUGGGCGUAAAGCGUGCGCAGGCGGCUUUGCAAGACAGAUGUGAAAUCCCCGGGCUCAACCUGGGAACUGCAUUUGUGACUGCAAGGCUAGAGUGCGGCAGAGGGAGAUGGAAUUCCGCGUGUAGCAGUGAAAUGCGUAGAUAUGCGGAGGAACACCGAUGGCGAAGGCAAUCUCAUGGGCCUGCACUGACGCUCAUGCACGAAAGCGUGGGGAGCAAACAGGAUUAGAUACCCGUGUAGUCCCUGUCUCUUAUAC